rnacentral:lncRNA from 1 species
AGGUACAGGUCUGCUUACCAUUGAAAGAAUCACUGUUUACUAAUACGUCAUUGAUUUCGGUUCUGGAUUCAGUUUAAAAAAAUAUUACACACGCAGAUAUAUGUGUGGAAAGAAAGAAUGGGAGAAAAAGUGAAUAAAAACACCAUGGAAAAAUUAAUUUGGUAAUACGAAGCAUGGGCUACAUUUCCUGAUUUCAUUUUGUGAUUUGAUGUUAGUCAGUAAACCUGUGAUUAUAUGCUACCCACAGUGAAGGUGAAUUCCAUAUAUCCAAUGAAGUUUUUCAGAAAACAUCUUAGCUUCUUACAGAAGAAGAAGCAUGAAAUGGCUUUUCACCUCCACCUGUAUGCUGUUUCUAAGCUCAUGAAGCUAGGAUUUGCCAUGGGGAACCUAGAGAGCAAGAGGAUUGCUCACUUAAGGGGAAACUAACUACCACGUUAUGCAGCUCUACUGUAAAAAUGCACAGGGCUCUUCGAAAGACUGAAAAAAUUGACAGGACCAGAGAGAGUCCAUCUAGAAGAAUGUCAAACAAACCACUGAAGUAACGUGUUGACAAAAUAACAGCUCUAAUAAAUUGCAAUUUGACUAUAAAUAA